UUCCCCAGAGCUCGUCCUCCUGGGUCACCCCACCCCCUCAAAAAUCGAGACGAUCAGGUAAAGUCACCUGGCAGUGUCUGAUGGAGGCUCAGGCAGGAUAAUCUUUCAUCUCUCCGUGAAGAAUAGCUUUACUUUCAAAGCUUGGCACCAGCCCACCCUCCCCCGGGUGGCCUGUGGCUUUGGGCUUGGGAAGGUUUUAUAAAAGCAGGCAGGGUUCCAACAUCAAAACAAUGUAGAAAGCAAACAACCCGUCCCUUCAGCAGUUUCGUUUUUCUCUCCCAAGGAGCCAAAGCGACCCCUGGGCAGCCGAGGCUGUGGCUUGAAAACAAGGGCAGCGAAAACAAGCCCAGAAAGUUCUGGAGGCCAGAGGUCUGCAAUGGGUUUGACAGGCUGACAUCCAAGUUAUCAGCGGGGCUGUGUUCCUGCUGGAGAUCCCAGGGAGGAACCCAGUUCCCGCUCUUCUCCAGCUCCAGAGGCUGCCUGCAUCCUCGGCCCACGGCCCCUUCCUGCGGCGGCACCACCACGACCUCGGCGUCCAUGGACUCAUCUCCCCUCUAACCCCCCGGUGCCCUCUUAGAAGGAUGCCUGUGAUCAACUGGACACACCUGGACAAUCCAGGCUCGGCUCCGCACCUCCGCAAGACCCUGCACUUAGAUCUGCCAAGUCCCUUGUGCCAGGCAGCCGGCUGGAUCUGGCCUCCAGACCACAGCUUGUCUAUCCCUGUCUGAUAAGAAAAAAAUCGAUAGAAGAAAAGCAGACAGACCAGUGAGGGAAAACACUGCCGAAGACUCUUUAAAGCCACACUUGGGAUUUUUGAUGCUGCCUCUAAUUCCUUCUGUGACUGACACAAUCCACCCCUGUUUAAAAAAAUAAGAGGUGCGGGGGGUGGGGGGAGUAAGUAAAGGUUUCUAUGGGAACCGGGAGUUUACUUUUAAACCCUUCAACCACCACAAAGACAAUCACUGCAUUUUUCUCCGGGCCCCUCUGAAGCCGGGCAGGCGUGACCUAUGGCCUGUCGGGCGGGCCUCGGCCCAGUGCCUCAGCUGUUCCCGUCAAAAAUGAAAUGCCAGAGUGGCCCCCGGGUCCAGGAGGGCAGCUCAUGUAAUCCAGGCCUCUUGGGCAAAGGGCUGCUUCCCCAGAGCGCUGGAUCUGGGUCAGAGGCCCCACCCCACCCCCAGGACUGCUCUGAUGGAGUCAAGGCCAACCGCCACCAACCACGGCCACGAACAAAGUAUUCCGGGGGAACUCUUCCUGGGUCUGCAGCCAACUGGACUGGACAGAGGGCUUCCCGCUCACUGCUGACAGUCGCCUCUGCGAUGGGCUUCGGUUCCACCUGGCCCCGAACACCCCCGUGCCUUGGAACAGAAGUGCCUGGGUGGGAGUUCCCGCUGUGGCUCCUUGGUUAACAAACGCGACUAGUAUCCAUGAGGAUGCGGGUUUGAUCCCUGGCCUUGCUCCGUAGGUUAAGGAUCCAGCGCUGCCGGGAGCUGCGGUGUAGGUGGUAGAUGCGGCUCGGAUCCGGCGUGGCUGUGGCUGUGGCGAAGCGGUAGCUCUGAUUCGAUCCCUAGCCUGGGAACCUCCACAUGCCUCAAGUGCAGCCAUAACAAGACAAAAUGGAAAAAAAAAAAAAGAAUAAACCCAGAAUGUACACCACCCACCCACACGUGCUUUUACAGCAGAGCUUACCAGCUACGACUUUUCUACACGGGACCCUCAGUGGGAAUGAGUCUCUUGCCCCUGACAGUGAAAGGAAUUCAGGAUUGCAGCCAGCUGUGCCCAGCAGCGUCCAGAGCUGCACAACGGCCACCCACCCAUGUGUGCCCAGAACCGGGACGGCCUGAUGUGGGCAUGCUCUGUCCAGAGCCCCGACGCCUCACACUACCUGCGGGGGCGGGGGGGGGUGCCCACGUGAGCCCCUGAGAGUUCAAUCCUCCCCUUUUGCAGAGGAGGAAACUGAGGCCCAGGCAGGGGAAGAAAUUUCCUAGGAUCCCACAGUAAGUGAGCAACACAGCCAGGACCCAGAUGCAGGCCUUUGGCUGCCUGGUCCUGGCUGCAGCUUCCCCAGCCACACAAAUGCUCUGCCUGGAGGGGCCCCUCCGAGAAGGGUCCACACCCAGAGCGAGGGAUUUAGCCCGGUCUGGAACACAGCCCUUUGUGGACGAAAUCCAGAGUUACCCCGAAGCCGAAAGAAAUGUUCUGAGGGCUGACUCAUCCUUCAGAGCCAAGCCCACAGCCCUGGGGCAGGGCCCUCGCGGCAGCAAGUUCCGGGAGGAUGUGACACCUCUGAGUUUGAUUUUCUUUGGUUUUUCUACAGAAACCCCCAGCACACUUGCUGUGCCCUCCAGGAGCCGAGGGCAGGAGGGAGGCAGAAGCAGGGAAGAGUCCCUCUCAGUUCCCUGACUUUUCUGGGUGCUGGAGAACUUUGGCCAAGGUCACAUCCCUGAUUCCAGGGGGUCUAGAGGUUUGGCGCUAAGAACCUAAGGACCAGAGGGGAGGGUGCUGGCCGCCAGGAGUGGAGGGGAGGCUGGUGUGGCAUCCACCGCAGAGGGCUCACCGCCAGGCCAGGGGGCUUGGACUUGACCCUGUAAGCCGGUGCAGCCCAAACUUCUCCAGAUCCCAGCAUUCGUGGGCCGUGAUGCUGAGUGUCCUGGGGUGGACGGAGCUGCCCUGCACCCACAGCUUGGCUGUGGAGACCUGCUGAAAGCAUCAGCAGGGACGGGUGGCGGAUGGCUGGGUGACGGGUGGCUUGGGGAGGUAAUGCAAGGCCCAGAGCCAUAAACAGGUCACUAUGGAGUCUCGGCAAGCAUGCGGAGGCCCGGACCAGGGCCGGGGGCAGGAAAGGAAUAAGUGGCUGGCUGGCAAGGCUGAUCUGGAGGGCCACGCGGGCACAGUCCUGCCCCAGCCUGCCUUCAGGCCGUGCCGGUGACUUCGGGUCUUCCAAUGCUGUGCGACACAGAAUUCACGCAGUCAAGUUUCUGCUCUGCUCUCAAGGUCUGGUUCCAAUGCUUUCUCUCCCCCCCACCCCCUGCCAACAGAGGCCCUCCCUGUUCUCAGCCCUGAGGCUACCAGCUCCUUGACCUGUUCAGCCUUGGCCCAAGAUUUACAGAGCCAGCACGAUGGGAAAUGUGGCUGAGUCUGACUCGGUGGGGUUCAAAUCCCAGUUCCACUUACAAGCCCAUGACCUUGGCAAGUCAUUCCAGCUCUCCACCUCUGAAGUAGCCUCAAAGGCUUGUGGAAAGCCCUGAGGGAAGAGGUUUGCGCUGAGCCUGCCCUGCAGGCUGCUCUGAGCUGGGCUAACUGUCACUACCUGGGUUUGACAGUCAGUUCCAUGUGUCCCGAAUCGCAGUUCUGACUGCUAAGCCUGGGCAGUACUGCUUCUCAGCAAAUGCUGACUGACUGAGGGAGACGAGGGAGACGCUGGGGGGCGGUGGGACGGGGGGAGGGGGGUGGCCUGCAGGGCCCAGCUGGCAGCACUGGACACCCCACCUAGCUGGCUCCCCCAGAGGUGCAGUGAGAAAGCCUGUGUCUCCCUAGCCUCACCUAACUCCAUCCACCUCCAGCUCUGGGUGCCAGGUCUUAGCCGAGUCGCUCCGGAACAAUGUCGUCAAGGAUCACAGAAUCAGACCCAACCGGCGCCAGAGCAACAGGAGACGGCCCCGACCCAAAUGGGCGUCUGUGCUGCCAGAAGCAGAAAAUUCGAGCCAGGGUCUGGCUGAGUGCCAUGAUGGCUUCAUGCUCCUUAAAGGCAGGGACAAGAACCAACUCUUCAUUCCCUGCUGCCUGCACAAGGCCCUACGCCUGGCACACGUCUGCUAAACUGAACAAUAGGGGCUGUGAAGCUUGGGGGCGGUGGAGGCUUCCUCCGUAAAUGGGAGCAUCUUCCAAAUCCUGGCCCAAUGCCUGGACCAAGAGUCAAGUGACCCCAAAUUGGUCCAAGUGACCCCAGAGCCGGUGGAGUGUUUGGCUGGACCCUGAGGUCACAUCCAAGAGGGAGAGGGGGCGGCCAAAGCAGUCUUGUCAUCGGAAGGGCACCGGCGCCCUUGCUGCCCACAGGCUGGCAGAGCACUAGGGCACAGACCUUAACCAGCCGCCUCCAGCCUCAACUCUAGCCCAUGCAGCUCCAAGGAUGCAGAGGCCACCAGGUGGCAGCUGCCAACAUCCUGCAAUUCCAACUGCUCUCCGCAAAGGUCAGCAGCUUGGGCCGCCCCCGUUUCCUUGCCAAAAGGACCCUGUGAGGGUGGCAGAGGCAGCUUUGCCCAGAGGGACAGCCAUGCUCUCCGCCAGAGUCCUUCAUUUACAAGCCUUUUUAUGAGCGUAGCUAGAGGACUUGGUGCAUCCAUGUGUCAGGUACAGGGAGUUGUCACAGCCUCCCCUGAGCGAGGCUGUGCUUUCUGCCCAGCUCGUCCCGACCUCCAGGGACAGGUCAGGAAAUCUGCAUUCCAACAUUCCCCAGGGUUCGGCCUGGAGACAUCACAGUUAAUUUGAUGGUGACAUCACAAUUACAUUUGCAUGGAUUCCAGAAUUCCACAGCUCAGGGCCACAGACAAAAGCUUGAUGGAGGCUGGGUGUCCUCGUCUGUCCCUGUGAUGGCAGAUUUGUGAAAUCCCACUGUACCCGGCGUCCCAUCACCACGACAACUGCUCCUCCCGGUGCUGAUGGAAGUACAGAGCUUGGAAAACAACCCCUCUGCCUGGACUCCUGCCUCCCUUGACUACCCCUGUGUGGAGGUCAGAUGAAUGAGGCCCCCCGCUUGCGUGUCAUCCAGACGCAUCCAGGGCUGGCUGACACCCACCAGCUCGUUCAGGCAGAUGCUCUAAUAGAAGCAAAGGCUGCCUUCCGGACCCGGCCCUUGGCUUGGACUUCCUGAGUCCCACAGAGACAAGGCAGGAAAAAUGUCUAUGGGGCAGCCCUGGAGACAGGGAUGCCGAGGGAAAGAUGCAGAGACGAGCCGGAUUCCUGUCCCCACCUCCUCUCCCAUCUCCCAGCUUCUUCUCAGUGAUGCUGGGCCCAGCAGUACAGCCACCAACCAACAAGUCCACAGUGCACACACACCCCCCCACCGCCUCUCCCCCAAGCCAGGACUAACAGCUCCAAACACUUGCAACAGCCCUGGACUGCAGACAACCCAAUGGCCCUCACUGAAGAUCAGAUCAACAAACUGCGUGUAUCCAUACGAUGGCAGAGUCCUGGGCGAAAACAAGGAACUACCGACUGCCUGGAUCCAGGGCUGGGAGCCAAGACCCACACAGAUGCCGGGGACUAGGGAGCUUUACCAGGUAGCGAAAGCAUGCCCAACCGCGUUGUCGGGAUGCUGGCCCAACUCCCCAGAUUGACGAAAAGAGACUGAGUCAUAAACUUAAAACAGGUGAACUUUAUGAUAUGUAAAUAUAUGUCAAUAAAGUGGUUUUAGCA